rnacentral:rRNA from 1 species
GACGAACCGUGCGAACGUUAUUCGGAAUCACUGGGCUUAAAGGGCGCGUAGGCGGGCUAUCAAGUCAAGGGUGAAAUCCUGCGGCUCAACCGUAGAAGAGCCCCUGAUACUGAUGGUCUGGAGGGAGGUAGGGGCGUGUGGAACUUCCGGUGGAGCGGUGAAAUGCGCAGAGAUCGGAAGGAACGCCGGUGGCGAAAGCGACACGCUGGACCUCUACUGACGCUGAGGCGCGAAAGCCAGGGGAGCAAACGGG